rnacentral:rRNA from 1 species
CCUACGGGUGGCAGCAGUGGGGAAUAUUGCACAAUGGGGGAAACCCUGAUGCAGCGACGCCGCGUGAGUGAAGAAGUAUUUCGGUAUGUAAAGCUCUAUCAGCCGGGAAGAAAAUGACGGUACCUGAUUAAGAAGCACCGGCCAACUACGUGCCAGCAGCCGCGGUAAAACGUAGGGGGCAAGCGUUAUCCGGAUUUACUGGGUGUAAAGGGAGGGGAGACGGCAGAGCAAGUCUGGAGUGAAAUGCCGGGGCUUAACCCCGGAACUGCUUUGGAAACUGUGCUGCUAGAGUGCAGGAGAGGUAAGUGGAAUGCGUGGUGUAGCGGUGAAAUGCGUAGAUAUUAGGAGGAACACCAGUGGCGAAGGCGGCUUACUGGACUUUAACUGACGUUGAGGCUCGAAAGCGUGGGGAGCAAACAGGAUUAGAUACCCGUGUAGUC